rnacentral:rRNA from 1 species
GGGGAAACCGGCGAACGGGUGAGUAACACGUGAGGAACCUGCCCUGUACACCGGGAUAACUACGGGAAACCGUGGCUAAUACCGGAUGCUCCACCUUGAUCGCAUGAUCGGGGUGGGAAAGCUCAGGCGGUACAGGAGGGCCUCGCGGCGUAUCAGCUAGUUGGUGAGGUAAAGGCUCACCAAGGCGACGAUCCGUAGCUGGUCUGAGAGGACGAUCAGCCACACUGGGACUGAGACACGGCCCAGACUCC